AGUGAACGCUGGCGGCGUGCCUAAUACAUGCAAGUCGAACGAUGAAGCUCUAGCUUGCUAGAGUGGAUUAGUGGCGCACGGGUGAGUAAUGCAUAGGUUAUGUGCCCUUUAGUCUAGGAUAGCCAUUGGAAACGAUGAUUAAUACUGGAUACUCCCUACGGGGGAAAGUUUUUCGCUAAAGGAUCAGCCUAUGUCCUAUCAGCUUGUUGGUGAGGUAAUGGCUCACCAAGGCUAUGACGGGUAUCCGGCCCGAGAGGGUGAACGGACACACUGGAACUGAGACACGGUCCAGACUCCUACGGGAGGCAGCAGUAGGGAAUAUUGCUCAAUGGGGGAAACCCUGAAGCAGCAACGCCGCGUGGAGGAUGAAGGUUAUCGGAUUGUAAACUCCUUUUCUAAGAGAAGAUUAUGACGGUAUCUUAGGAAUAAGCACCGGCUAACUCCGUGCCAGCCGCCGCUGUAA
rnacentral:rRNA from 1 species